UCCGGGUUGGACCCGGCGGUCCCGCCAGACAUCGUAACUGGCAGCGAGGGUUGCGCUCGUUGCGGGACUUAACCCAACACCUCACGGCACGAGCUGGCGACAGCCAUGCACCACCUGUGUAGGGCCCCGAAGGACACCGCAUCUCUACGGCUUUUCCCUACAUGUCAAACCCAGGUAAGGUUCUUCGCGUUGCGUCGAAUUAAACCACAUGCUCCGCUGCUUGUGCGGGCCCCCGUCAAUUCCUUUGAGUUUUAGCCUUGCGGCCGUACUCCCCAGGCGGGGCACUUAAUGCAUUAGCGCCGGCACGGAAGGAGUCGACACCUCCCACACCUAGUGCCCAUCGUUUACGGCGUGGACUAC
rnacentral:misc_RNA from 1 species